rfam:Myotis lucifugus cont2.24911, whole genome shotgun sequence.
GGCGAUUCUCAGGUGACGCACCCGGAAUCGGGCUACUUCCUCUCUGGUUCCGGUCACCCAAGAACCACA